GGCACGGUCCGCUAAUUGGCAACGCGGCCAAGCUCAAACCUUGGUGAUUGUGGGUUCGACUCCCACCCGUGCUA
rnacentral:tRNA from 1 species